AGAAAAGGGGGUAGAAGAUCGCAGCCUCUCUCCCCAUGUUUCCAAUUUACUCUGCAUAGACACAGGAUAAAGAAUCUUCCUUCUGUUGGCAGAAACAUGGAUGCCACGGGGUGCACCAACCCAUCCAUCUUUCAGCAUCCUGGGGACCAGGCCCCCUAUAGGUCCAGACCAGCUGGAGAAUGAAGCCAAGACAUAGAAGAGGGCAGAGACAAUAGGAUCCCCACAAAGAGGACUCAAGCCCCUGGUACUGCCUUGGAGCCAUAUGACCUCGUGUUGAGAUUUUCCGCUACUUCCAUCCAAAAACAUCCUAAAUGACAUAAAAGCAGCAUUUGAGAGCAAAGCUUUGAAGUGCAAAGCUUUGACUAAUAGGCC
rnacentral:lncRNA from 1 species